CGUGCUAAGGUAGCAUAAUAAUUUGCCUCUUAAUUAGUGGCUAGUAUGAAUGGACACACAAAAAUUUCCCUGUCUCUAUAAGUCCCAUAAAAAUUAGUCCUCAAGUGCAAAAACUUGAAUAAGCCUAAAGGACAAGAAGACCCUGUAGAGCCUAAAAUUCCCAUAAUUAACAGCCCUAAAAUUUAUUUAAAUUAAUCAUAAUUAUAAAAUUUUUAGUUGGGGCAACUAGAAUAUACCCAAAUCUAUUCUUCCCAUUUAGGCCUAAAAGCCUCCUAAUUGAUCCAUUCCUAAUGAUCAUACGCACAGGUUACCUCAGGGAUAACAGACUAAUCCUUCUCAAAAGCCCUUAUUAACAGAAGGGAUUGGCACCUCGA
rnacentral:rRNA from 1 species